rnacentral:misc_RNA from 1 species
AAACCCUUUGCCUGUCUCUGUUACAGAGAGGGUUGCUUACUCGCAAAUCUUCAUCCGAUUCAACUAAUUUGGUGGACUGAGAAGAAGAAGAAGCAGUAGACAUGGGAGAAAGGAAGGUUUUAAACAAGUAUUAUCCGCCGGAUUUCGAUCCGGCAAAGAUUCCCAGGCGAAGACAGCCGAAGAAUCAGCAGAUGAAAGUGCGUAUGAUGCUUCCAAUGAGUAUUCGUUGUGCUACUUGCGGAAAUUACAUCUAUAAGGGUACCAAAUUCAAUUCCCGCAAAGAGGACGUUGUUGGCGAGACUUAUUUGGGAAUACAAAUCUUCAGAUUCUAUUUUAAGUGCACAAAGUGCUCCGCAGAGAUUACUUACAAGACAGACCCCAAGAAUUCCGAUUAUACUGUUGAAUCAGGUGCAACUAGGAAUUUUGAGCCUUGGCGUGGCAAAGACGAGGAAAUUGAGAAGGAGAAACAAAAAAGAGACGAUGAAGAAAUGGGUGAUGCAAUGAAGUCCUUAGAAAAUAGGACAUUGGAUUCAAAGAGAGAAAUGGAUAUUCUUGCUGGUUUAGAUGAAAUGAAAUCUCUGAAGUCAAGGCACGCCACUGUGAGUGUAGAUGCGAUGCUUGAAGCUUUGCAGCGGUCACAUGAAUCCAAGGAAAAGAAGAUGGAGGAAGACGAUGAAGCUCUCAUAAGAUCAAUUUUCCAGGGAUCAAGAGAGACUGUCAAAAGAAUCAAUGAUGAAGAACUUGAGGACGAUGACGAUGAUGACAUGGCUUUCUUUACCCGUGAAAGUGCAGGGUCAGAAAACAACUCUCUAAAGAAGAGAAAGGUUUCGGAGGAACCUGAUGAAAA